rnacentral:rRNA from 1 species
CAUGCAAGUCGAACGAACUCUGGUAUUGAUUGGUGCUUGCAUCAUGAUUUACAUUUGAGUGAGUGGCGAACUGGUGAGUAACACGUGGGAAACCUGCCCAGAAGCGGGGGAUAACACCUGGAAACAGAUGCUAAUACCGCAUAACAACUUGGACCGCAUGGUCCGAGUUUGAAAGAUGGCUUCGGCUAUCACUUUUGGAUGGUCCCGCGGCGUAUUAGCUAGAUGGUGGGGUAACGGCUCACCAUGGCAAUGAUACGUAGCCGACCUGAGAGGGUAAUCGGCCACAUUGGGACUGAGACACGGCCCAAACUCCUACGGGAGGCAGCAGUAGGGAAUCUUCCACAAUGGACGAAAGUCUGAUGGAGCAACGCCGCGUGAGUGAAGAAGGGUUUCGGCUCGUAAAACUCUGUUGUUAAAGAAGAACAUAUCUGAGAGUAACUGUUCAGGUAUUGACGGUAUUUAACCAGAAAGCCACGGCUAACUACGUGCCAGCAGCCGCGGUAAUACGUAGGUGGCAAGCGUUGUCCGGAUUUAUUGGGCGUAAAGCGAGCGCAGGCGGUUUUUUAAGUCUGAUGUGAAAGCCUUCGGCUCAACCGAAGAAGUGCAUCGGAAACUGGGAAACUUGAGUGCAGAAGAGGACAGUGGAACUCCAUGUGUAGCGGUGAAAUGCGUAGAUAUAUGGAAGAACACCAGUGGCGAAGGCGGCUGUCUGGUCUGUAACUGACGCUGAGGCUCGAAAGUAUGGGUAGCAAACAGGAUUAGAUACCCUGGUAGUCCAUACCGUAAACGAUGAAUGCUAAGUGUUGGAGGGUUUCCGCCCUUCAGUGCUGCAGCUAACGCAUUAAGCAUUCCGCCUGGGGAGUACGGCCGCAAGGCUGAAACUCAAAGGAAUUGACGGGGGCCCGCACAAGCGGUGGAGCAUGUGGUUUAAUUCGAAGCUACGCGAAGAACCUUACCAGGUCUUGACAUACUAUGCAAAUCUAAGAGAUUAGACGUUCCCUUCGGGGACAUGGAUACAGGUGGUGCAUGGUUGUCGUCAGCUCGUGUCGUGAGAUGUUGGGUUAAGUCCCGCAACGAGCGCAACCCUUAUUAUCAGUUGCCAGCAUUAAGUUGGGCACUCUGGUGAGACUGCCGGUGACAAACCGGAGGAAGGUGGGGAUGACGUCAAAUCAUCAUGCCCCUUAUGACCUGGGCUACACACGUGCUACAAUGGAUGGUACAACGAGUUGCGAACUCGCGAGAGUAAGCUAAUCUCUUAAAGCCAUUCUCAGUUCGGAUUGUAGGCUGCAACUCGCCUACAUGAAGUCGGAAUCGCUAGUAAUCGCGGAUCAGCAUGCCGCGGUGAAUACGUUCCCGGGCCUUGUACACACCGCCCGUCACACCAUGAGAGUUUGUAACACCCAAAGUCGGUGGGGUAACCUUUUAGGAACCAGCCGCCUAAGG